rnacentral:lncRNA from 10 species
GAGCGUAGCUUCCUUGUCGUGUGGCCUCAGUCCUUCGCCGUCCCUCGCCGUCCUUCGCCAUCGCACGCCACCGCACCCCAUCUCUCGAAAUCUGCAGACAUCUUGAUUUUUCCCACGCUGUCUGUCAGGUCUCCGCCGCCACUCGACGCCAGGGCGCCGGGUGAGUCCACAGCAGGGCGCAUGGUCGGCUCCACUCUCACCAUCGGGGGAAACUGAGGCCCCGGGGAAGGCGGCCAGAGAGGUCAGGCCCUGUCCUUGGUGCAGUGUCUCGUCCUCUUUGCCGGAGUGAGCCCCCCAGGAUUCGCGUGUCCUCGGGAAAGACACUGGCAGGCCUUGUGGGCUGUGCUGCACCUCGGACGGCUUCGCACCAGCCAGCGCCCUCUCUCUCCUGCAGCACUCUGAUCUGCACCCCCUGAGGGGCUUCCACUGUCCGCGGGGUGAGAAUGCCCCUGGGAGUGUCACAUGACUGCCGCCCCAUGUGUGUGAGAGGCGUCCUCUGGGAGAGCAUGGAUCCUGAGGUCCCAGGAUUGUCAGCUGACCUCUGUCCUGUGUGCCCAGUGGCCCCAGGUGACGUGUCUUCAAGAAGAGGCUGAGCUGCGGUGCUUGUAAGAGUCAUGUGCUGUUCCUGGGGCUUGGAUGAUGUAGGGGAAGCAAGGUGAAAGUGGUAUCCCGUGGUUCCACGUUCUGUCCUGCUGUGGGGCUGUCCCUCACAUGCUUUCAGUGGCUGUUGCAGAGGAAGAGCCUCCGGAAAUCUGCGUGGGUAAAGUGAGCUCCCCGGGGGAACCGUCCUCCUCCCUUGAGCGCUGGUGUGUCCAUAGUGUGCUGUGAUCUGGAUUAGCAGUGAGUUUUUCUUUCAGGGUGUGUGUGUAUGAUGUUAGGACCAUAUGCUCCUGACCUUUUCCAACCCAAAAGCGUUUCCAUUUUUUUAAUGCUGGAAGUGUCUUAACUCCUUUUGGGGUCUUAGAAGGACACACGGUGGCCGUGGCUGGGCCUCUGCUCAGCUGGGCUGCUCUCCCUGCCUCAGGCCCUUGACACCAGCCUCCCUCCCUUGCUGGCUCUCUUUCUGUCCUUCCCUGCUCUUGUAUCCAAAAGUGAUCAUGGGUUGCCUGUGUCCCGAUCAUUAACAGUGCAGGGGUAGGAGUGCUGAAAGACAUCUUCCCUGCGUUGGUCCAGCCUUCCCUUUCAAACCCUGGAGCUUUCCCACGCUGCAGCCUUUUUCCAACUAGGCUUUCAGAGCUUGGGCCUUUGUGGGCCCAUGUGAUGUGGUGACUAGACCCACCCCCUGACUUCUGAGGGUUCAUUUUGUCUUUUCAUGUUAGGGAUCCUCCUGCCAGAAACCAGUCUGCAUUUCUCUCUGGGCCCCACGCUGGAAUGAAUUCAGAUAGCAGUGAAGGGCACACGUGAGAACUGCGAAUCACGGGCUUUGCUUCAUGAAAUGUGAAAUCCACAUUGUUUCCACAGGCACCAUCAGUAAUGUCGAACAAAUGGAGAAAGUUGCAGGUGGGGCUAGGAAAGCUGUAUUCCUGUGGAUUACUCUAGCUGGUCAUUUGCCCCGAUUGUGAACUGCUUGAAAGAAAAACGAAACUUCUAAGAUGUUUGUCCUUUCAUGUCCUUUCUGUUGGGAUUUUUUAUUUGGUGUGCGUGAAUGAGGAGCUUCGCCCUGCUUGAAUGGGACCCCUCUCAGUGGUGUCAGCUUGGGGAGGAGGAGAUGGCCCUGGAGACUAAAUACUUGUAUGCUUUCUUACCCUCUUAGGUCUCAGCCUUAGAUCCAAGGACAGUCCAAGGAAGUCCUAAGACCAUGGAGUUGGUGAUCUGGGAUCUGGGUUUGCUGAUAUUUCUCACCGUGAAUCUCUUGGUGGUGUUUGUGGGCACGAGAGGGGCAGAGAAUGGAGAGUGAGGCUACCACAUGAAGCGUCACCAGAGCUGCUCCCUGCUGCCUGCUCAGAGCACCCCGGAUCCACUGUUCAAUCUGCACAAGAUUCGGGGUCCAGACAUGGGAGACUUCAGCUGCCUCAGAGGACCGUGGACAGGGAAGGCCAGCCUCGCAUCCCUCUGUCCAUGCCUGGAAUGACUUUAAUAACCAAGAGUUUUAUUUUUGAAUUUGUAGCUGUCGUUCACUUUUUACCCACCCAUUCAAUAAACCUUACAGAAUUGC